rnacentral:misc_RNA from 1 species
GUAUUGAUUGCGUGUGACCGCAAAAAUAACAUUCUACACUGUAUCGAGUUUUGUGUGAAAACGUGAGCCCUCCUGCAAAGGGGACCCACGCGGUGAUGCACAAAGGGGUGAGAUGGAUUGUGUGAGAGCGCUCGGGCGUGCACGACCUUUGAAGGUCAGCGACAGCCCUUGCACCUCGGUUGCACGAUAAUGAUCCUUCCGCAGGUUCACCUACGGAAA